UACGGGGGGAGCAAGCGUUGUUCGGAUUUACUGGGCGUAAAGAGCACGCAGGCGGUCGUUCAAGUCGCGUGUGAAAGCCCCCCGGCUCAACUGGGGAGGGUCACGCGAUACUGAUCGACUCGAAGGCAGGAGAGGGAAGUGGAAUUCCCGGUGUAGUGGUGAAAUGCGCAGAUAUCAGGAGGAACACCGGUGGCGAAGGCGGGUCUCUGGGCCGAUACUGACGCUGGAGGAGCGAAAGCGUGGGGAGCGAACAGG
rnacentral:rRNA from 1 species